GAAAUUGUUAUGUUCGAAUCAUAAUAACCUGA
rnacentral:tRNA from 1 species